rnacentral:rRNA from 1 species
GACAGAGGUGCCGAGCGUUAGGCGGAAUCACUGGGCUUAAAGCGUGUGUAGGCGGGUCGUUAAGUGUCUUGUGAAAUCCCACCGCUCAACGGUGGAACCGCUGGGCAUACUGGCGAUCUUGAGCAGUCCAGGGGCGAGCGGAACAAGCGGUGGAGCGGUGAAAUGCGUAGAUAUCGCUUGGAACGCCGACGGUGAAAACAGCUCGCUGGGGACUCGCUGACGCUGAGACACGAAAGCCAGGGGAGCGAACGGGAUUAGAUACCCCGGUAGUCCUGGCCCUAAACGAUGUCCACUAGGUCACGGGAGCCUCUGACGGCUCUCGUGGCCGAAGCAAAAGUGCUAAGUGGACCGCCUGGGAAGUACGGUCGCAAGGCUAAA